AUUGAACGCUGGCGGCAUGCCUUACACAUGCAAGUCGAACGGCAGCGCGGGGCAACCUGGCGGCGAGUGGCGAACGGGUGAGUAAAAUAUCGGAACAUACCCUAGAGUGGGGGAUAACGUAGCGAAAGUUACGCUAAUACCGCAUACGAUCUAAGGAUGAAAGUGGGGGAUCGCAAGACCUCAUGCUCAUGGAGUGGCCGAUAUCUGAUUAGCUAGUUGGUAGGGUAAAGCCUACCAAGGCGACGAUCAGUAGCUGGUUUGAGAGAACGACCAGCCACACUGGAACUGAGACACGGUCCAGACUCCUACGGGAGGCAGCAGUGGGGAAUUUUGGACAAUGGGGGGCAACCCUGAUCCAGCAAUGCCGCGUGAGUGAAGAAGGCCCUCGGGUUGUAAAGCUCUUUUGUCAGGGAAGAAACGGUGUUUCCUAAUACGGAAUGCUAAUGACGGUACCUGAAGAAUAAGCACCGGCUAACUACGUGCCAGCAGCCGCGG
rnacentral:rRNA from 1 species